AGCCAUGCAGUGAGCACAAAGCGAACUAUUCUUUCACCUUUUACUAAAGAAUACCGUGUGUUCACUGCUCAAAAGGGCAUACACCAAUUUUUUGAGGUGUUGAUUUCAAUAGA